GAUCAUGGCUCAGGAUAAACGCUAGCGGCAGGCCUAACACAUGCAAGUCGAGGGGCAGCGGAUGGAGUGCUUCGGUACUCCUGCCGGCGACCGGCGGACGGGUGCGUAACGCGUAUGCAACCUGCCUUCAGCAGGGGGGUAAUCCGAAGAAAUUUGGUCUAAUACCCCAUAAUAUUCCGACAGGCAUCUGUCGGAGUUGAAAGCUUCGGUGGUUGGAGAUGGGCAUGCGUUGUAUUAGUUAGA
rnacentral:rRNA from 1 species